rnacentral:misc_RNA from 1 species
GGCUAGUCAUGUAAUUUAUUUAACGAUCGAUGUUGGAUAUUGAUAGGUAGGGCAUUGGGAAAAUCUACGUAAGGAUAGGCAAAAGCCUGAUCAGUUGCAGCUAAUUUCCAGUGAAAAUUAAGAACAAGAUAGUGAAUGAAAAUGGCCAUCUCAAGUUUGGCCAGUUCAGAUCCUGCACAUAGACGUGGACCUCCCCCAAAUGGCAUGAAAUUAUUACUACUUUU